GUAAAGGAAAUACGUGAACAUUUGUUGAUUAUUAAUAUGGUUUGGCUGUGUCCCCACCAAAUCUCAACUUAAAUUGUAUCUCCCAGAAUUCCCACAUGUCACAGGAGGGACCCAGGUGGAGGUAAUUGAAUCGUGGUCGGGCGGGGGGGAAGGGGGUGGUCUUGCCGUGCUGUUCUCGUGAUAGUGAGUACCUCUCACGAGAUCUGAUGAGUUUAUCAGGAGUUUCCGCUUUUGCUUCUUCCUCAUCGUCUCUUGCCGCUGCCAUGAAAGGAGUGCUUUUUGCCUCCCACCAUGAUUCUGAGGCCUCCCCAGCCAUGUAGAAUUAGCCAGCCUGUUUUUGAUGAAGAGCAACUGUACUGGAGAGAAAGCCUGUAUUCAUAUUCAUCGUCAUCAGGCAAAUCGAGGAGCUGACUUGCUUAGGAUCACUUUACAGAAUUCUUUCUCAAGAGGAUUUAGACUCCUUUUCUAUUGAUAGGGCAUAAGAAUUGACUCAGACCUAGAAACUGGCUGGGACCAUCUCAUAAUGUUUGUGUACAUUCCUGUUGUCUUCUACCUCCCAUCCACCGUGUCUCUCUACUGCCUAUAACCAGCCUACAUAAGUUCUUUCAAGAGAUCAAGAAAGAAACAGAAAUCUAGACAGAGAAGGUGAAAAAGAGAAGACCUAACAGAGAGCUAAGAAAGAUAAAUGUGAUUGGAGAGGAAACUAUCCCCAAUUCUCUCUUCAUUGACAUUUGGGGCUGUACCAGUUUACAUUUUCACCAACAUUCCCACCAUUGUGGUGGCCAGCAACUGAGGAGGCUGAGAUAAGUGGAUUCCCUGAGCCCAGGAGGUGGAGGUUGCAGUUAGCCAAGAUUGCGUCACUGCACUCCAGCCUAGGCAACAGAGUGAGACCUGUCUCAAAAAAAAAAAAAAAAAAGAGUUAAAUUAAAAAAUAAAUAAAAGUCAUUUGACCAUAUAUGUGAUUGUUUAUUUCUUGCUCUCCAUCUAUUCUAUUUACCUAUAUAUCUAUCUUUAUUCCAGUACAAUGCUGUUUUUAUUAUUGUAACUUUGAAAAAAAAUUUUAAAAUCUAGAAGUGUGAUCUUUAACUUUUGUUCUUUUUCAAAAUUGUUU
rnacentral:lncRNA from 1 species